AGCGAACGCUGGCGGCAGGCUUAACACAUGCAAGUCGAGCGGGCACUUCGGUGUCAGCGGCAGACGGGUGAGUAACACGUGGGAACGUACCCUUCGGUUCGGAAUAACGCUGGGAAACUAGCGCUAAUACCGGAUACGCCCUUUUGGGGAAAGGUUUACUGCCGAAGGAUCGGCCCGCGUCUGAUUAGCUAGUUGGUGGGGUAAUGGCCUACCAAGGCGACGAUCAGUAGCUGGUCUGAGAGGAUGAUCAGCCACACUGGGACUGAGACACGGCCCAGACUCCUACGGGAGGCAGCAGUGGGGAAUAUUGGACAAUGGGCGCAAGCCUGAUCCAGCCAUGCCGCGUGAGUGAUGAAGGCCUUAGGGUUGUAAAGCUCUUUUGUCCGGGACGAUAAUGACGGUACCGGAAGAAUAAGCCCCGGCUAACUUCGG
rnacentral:rRNA from 1 species